rnacentral:rRNA from 1 species
GCUUGGCCCUAAAUCUAGAUGUUCCCUCUACCAAAACAUCCGCCCGAGAACUACGAGCACAAACGCUUAAAACUCUAAGGACUUGGCGGUGCUCCAAACCCACCUAGAGGAGCCUGUUCUGUAAUCGAUAACCCACGAUACACCCAACCUCUCCUUGCCCAAAGCAGCCUACAUACCGCCGUCCCCAGCUCACCUUCUCUGAGAGCUCAACAGUGAGCACAACAACACCCCCCCCCGCUAAUAAGACAGGUCAAGGUAUAGCCUAUGGAGAGGAAGAAAUGGGCUACAUUCUCUAAGAUAGAGUACUGACGAAAAGGGGCCUGAAAUAGCCCCUAGAAGGAGGAUUUAGUAGUAAAGGGGGGUAAGAAUACCCCCUUAAACUCGGCCCUGGAGCACGUACAUACCGCCCGUCACCCUCCUCACAACUACUAAACACCCGUAAUUUUAACCCAAACCGAAAAGUUAAAAGAUGAGGUAAGUCGUAACAAGGUAAGUGUACCGGAAGGUGCACUUAGCACCAAGACGUAGCUAUAAUUCCA